GUGCACUACAGAAAUUUUAGUAUUAUAUUAUAACAACAAAUCACCACAUCUACAAACCCCAUAGAUGGAUAUCCUGCAAAGAACGAAGGAGUGAUAUUCUGCAAAUAACGAAGAAUUUGACAAAGUAUCAUGCAGUAUGACUACACAGCUUUGUUCAAUUUGUUACAACUUUAGAUGUCCCUUGCUCCGCCCCUGAUUCUCACCUUCAAAGCAUCUUCCUCUGAGCGAUCCAUAACUUGUAAUAUCAACGCAGCAAUGACAUUGAAGCCCUGACAAUAACCCACUGCUUUAUUCCAUCGUGCGUACGCAAGCAGAACUCGUUUCAAUACAGCACGUUCUUCUGGUGUCUCAAACUCACAAAACCAAGAGCAUCCCGUACGGUGAAGAUCCU